AUACAGGUUCAGUUUUGUCCUUGAUCUUGCUGCCUCCUCAGAGGGGACUGUUUCUCCACCCACCCACAUUCUCUUGUCUGAGCCUCCUCAGAACCAAAGGGUAACUUACCUGAAAGGAGCUUGAGCAGGCUUGACGGCAGGCUUCUGUUGAGGUAGAUGCUGUCACAGAGGGUAUCAGGAAAGAGUGUAUGCUGUGAUGACAUUUGCCUCAAAUGAAGUCGCUGACAGGCCAGGUGUAUCCAAGAUGAAGAUAUUCGAAAAUUCCAUUUAGCAAGAGCUUUUCUUUGAGGGUAUCUACUCUUCACUUUGAAGCCUUGAACUUCUGUGGAGCCACUGAGAGAGACAAAGAAAGUGCUCGUAGUAGUUAUCACAGGAAAAUGGAAAAGAGUGUUCUGUAAGAGUUAUUAUGUCAGUUGCUAACUGAGUGCCCUUUGAUUGUGACUCGGAAGUUUUGAG